rnacentral:rRNA from 1 species
CAAUAGCGUAUAUUAAAGUUGUUGCGGUUAAAAAGCUCGUAGUUGGAUUUCUGCUGAGGAUGACCGGUCCGCCCUGUGGGUGUGCAUCUGGCUCAGCCUUGGCAUCUUCCUGAAGAACGUAGCUGCACUUGACUGUGUGGUGCGGUAUUUAGGACAUUUACUUUGAGGAAAUUAGAGUGUUUCAAGCAAGCGCACGCUUUGAAUACAUUAGCAUGGAAUAAUAAGAUAGGACCUUGGUUCUAUUUUGUUGGUUUCUAGAGCUGAGGUAAUGAUUGAUAGGGAUAGUUGGGGGCAUUCGUAUUUAACUGUCAGAGAUGAAAUUCUUGGAUUUGUUAAAGACGGACUACUGCGAAAGCAUUUGCCAAGGAUGUUUUCAUUGA